ACAAAACACGAGAAACAAUCUUACAUAGUGAAUAAAAAGACAAUACAAUAAGUUCUCUAACUACAAGACCUAAGGGUAUGAAUUUGAAGCAAGUAAAGGUCUUUGGAAGCUGAAGAUGCUUUUGCCUCUGGUGUUUAUAUGCAGUACAGUUUCCUUGCAUAAUCAGUCUGCUGAAGAUACUCCUCCCCCCUGGAAUCUGAUCACAUUCUUUUCCUUUAGGAAAUUGUUGUUAAAAUUGACAACAAACAUUAUGG
rnacentral:misc_RNA from 1 species